rnacentral:rRNA from 1 species
UGGGGAAUGUUGCGCAAUGGGGGAAACCCUGACGCAGCAAUACCGCGUGAGUGAAGAAGGUUUUCGGAUCGUAAAGCUCUGUUAUUGGGGAAGAAAAAAAGACGGUACCCAAGAAGAAAGUCCCGGCUAACUACGUGCCAGCAGCCGCGGUAAUACGUAGGGGACAAGCGUUGUCCGGAUUUACUGGGCGUAAAGGGCACGCAGGCGGUUUUUUAAAGUCAGAUGUGAAAGGUACCGGCUCAACCGGUGACAUGCAUUUGAAACUGAAAGACUUGAGUAUUGGAGAGGCAAGUGGAAUUCCUAGUGUAGCGGUGAAAUGCGUAGAUAUUAGGAGGAACACCGGUGGCGAAGGCGGCUUGCUGGACAAAUACUGACGCUGAGGUGCGAAAGCGUGGGGAGC